UAUGGUAACACCAAAUUCCAUUUGGACACAUUAUCAUAGAAAUCCUUUUACUAUUGGUCUUAUGAUUUGGAUUUCCAUUGUUGUAAUUGUUCUUAGUCUUCUCAUUGUUCGCUUAUUUGUUAGGGGCAAGCACAUUAUUCGUAGCAAUUAAAAUUUGUAGUCCUUGUGGUUUCUUAUCAAUUAUGUAUUCGUCAAAAUAAGUAUUAAUUAAGUAUCAAUUACAUGUAAUUUUAUUCUUUGUAAUUUGAUUUUUUUCAUUAAGUUGAAGUACUCUUUGUAAUUUGUUGUUCUAUUAUGGCUUGUUUGGUGGAAUAAUUUAAAGGCAGAUUCUUC
rnacentral:lncRNA from 1 species